rnacentral:rRNA from 1 species
AGUGAACGCUGGCGGUAGGCCCAACACAUGCAAGUCGAACGGCAGCACAGUAAGAGCUUGCUCUUACGGGUGGCGAGUGGCGGACGGGUGAGGAAUACAUCGGAAUCUACUUUUUCGUGGGGGAUAACGUAGGGAAACUUACGCUAAUACCGCAUACGACCUACGGGUGAAAGCAGGGGAUCUUCGGACCUUGCGCGAUUGAAUGAGCCGAUGUCGGAUUAGCUAGUUGGCGGGGUAAAGGCCCACCAAGGCGACGAUCCGUAGCUGGUCUGAGAGGAUGAUCAGCCACACUGGAACUGAGACACGGUCCAGACUCCUACGGGAGGCAGCAGUGGGGAAUAUUGGACAAUGGGCGCAAGCCUGAUCCAGCCAUACCGCGUGGGUGAAGAAGGCCUUCGGGUUGUAAAGCCCUUUUGUUGGGGAAGAAAAGCAGCAGGUUAAUACCCCGCUGUUCUGACGGUACCCAAAGAAUAAGCACCGGCUAACUUCGUG